CCUACGGGAGGCAGCAGUGAGGAAUAUUGGUCAAUGGGCGAGAGCCUGAACCAGCCAAGUCGCGUGAAGGAUGAAGGAUCUAUGGUUUGUAAACUUCUUUUAUAUGGGAAUAAAGUGAGGAACGUGUUCCUUUUUGUAUGUACCAUAUGAAUAAGCAUCGGCUAACUCCGUGCCAGCAGCCGCGGUAAUACGGAGGAUGCGAGCGUUAUCCGGAUUUAUUGGGUUUAAAGGGUGCGUAGGUGGUUAAUUAAGUCAGCGGUGAAAGUUUGUGGCUCAACCAUAAAAUUGCCGUUGAAACUGGUUGACUUGAGUAUAUUUGAGGUAGGCGGAAUGCGUGGUGUAGCGGUGAAAUGCAUAGAUAUCACGCAGAACUCCGAUUGCGAAGGCAGCUUACUAAACUAUAACUGACACUGAAGCACGAAAGCAUGGGGAGCAAACAGGAUUAGAUACCCCAGUAGUC
rnacentral:rRNA from 1 species